GAUGAACGCUGGCGGCGUGCCUAAUACAUGCAAGUCGAGCGAACUGAUUAGAAGCUUGCUUCUAUGACGUUAGCGGCGGACGGGUGAGUAACACGUGGGUAACCUGCCUGUAAGACUGGGAUAACUUCGGGAAACCGAAGCUAAUACCGGAUAGGAUCUUCUCUUUCAUGGGAGAUGAUUGAAAGAUGGUUUCGGCUAUCACUUACAGAUGGGCCCGCGGUGCAUUAGCUAGUUGGUGAGGUAACGGCUCACCAAGGCAACGAUGCAUAGCCGACCUGAGAGGGUGAUCGGCCACACUGGGACUGAGACACGGCCCAGACUCCUACGGGAGGCAGCAGUAGGGAAUCUUCCGCAAUGGACGAAAGUCUGACGGAGCAACGCCGCGUGAGUGAUGAAGGCUUUCGGGUCGUAAAACUCUGUUGUUAGGGAAGAACAAGUACGAGAGUAACUGCUCGUACCUUGACGGUACCUAACCAGAAAGCCACGGCUAACUACGUGCCAGCAGCCGCGGUAAUAC
rnacentral:rRNA from 1 species